GCUGCUGCUGACUGCACAAGCAGCAGCAGCGGGAACCCCUGCUGCAGGGGGGAGGCCAGCAUUAAAAAAAAAAGAAAAAAGAAAAGAAGAGAGAGAAAAAAAGAAAGACAAGUAGAAAAGCAAGAAAGGAGAAAAGAAAGGAAAAGAGAUGGAAGAAGGAGAGAAAAGAAAGAGAGAAUGAAAUGGAAUUAGUGAAUAGACAUUGCAAUUGGCAUAAUUCGCAUCUCUAAACUUCAAAUUGACGCUUGCAGGGUGUCCAGGAGCGUGAAGUAGAGUGCUAUACACAUCCGGUUAGUUGCAAUUUAAGAGUUUUCGGGCGAUCGUGAGGAGAGGGAAAGCUGGAGUAGCGCUUCUCUUGCCCGAGUCAACGUAGCGAGUUGAGGGAUACUUUUACCGACUGAUCGAAGUGAGGGGAUAUUGCGCAAUAGAUAGCAUCUUCUACCAGUUCACCUAUACAUUAGAGGACCACCCGAUAGAGAGCCACUCUGUACUACACACCUGUACUGGCGAGGGCCAGGGCCUCUUCCUUGUACUUUGUUUUGAGAAUUGAGUUUAUUUGAUGUAGUACAUGAUGUACGGUAGUUUAGCUUGGAGAUUGUGCUUUGAUACAUGUUGUUGUUCUUGGUGUUUAUUUACUACUUCGUCUUGAUUCUUGUUUUGUGGAA